rnacentral:lncRNA from 1 species
UUAACCAAGGUAGUCAAAACCGAACCGGACCGGCAGGUCCGACCGGCUGAACCGGGAACCGAACCAGUACCCGGUUCGGAAGACCCCAAAAACCGGGCUGCUAUAUAACCGGUAAGAAAACCGGAAAACCGGUCCAGAACCGGAAAAACCGGAGUUAGGCCGGUUGUGAGGUUAGACCGGAUUUUGAUUUUAUUAAACUUUUCUUAAUUAAAAAAAAAAAGCCCAGAUUUAUAAGCAUUAACAGCGUCAACAUCAAAAACCUGAAGAAUUGAUUUUGAAUUUUGAUAAGGAACAAAGAAAAGAGGGUCAUAGGGGAAAGAGAAGAGAAAGGUGUGAGUUAUUUUUCUUUUGGGAGUUUUUGCAACAAUAAGGGAUUUGAAGAAGUAGCAUGAUAGGUGAUGGUUUUGGAAAAAUAAAGGGAGGAAGAAGAAGAAUAGUGAAACCAUCGAACUGUAACAAAUGAAAGAGGAAUGCGGCUGCUUGUUUUUGAAAGUUUCAGAUUGAAAAUUUAGGGUUAGUCAAUGGAUUGGGCAUUUGGGCUUAUAAAGGAAGUCCAUGAAGAGUGACUUUUUAUUUUUUUUUUAAAAAACUUUAGGUGUAAGUGAAUUAAUAUUUGACCUUAGGCAUGCGUGUUCCACUUGUUAAUUUUUGUUUGCUUCAUAAAAAAUAUUAGGUGUUUAUUAAAAAAAAUAAUUUAGGUGUUACAAUAUUAUAACAAAGUUAUAUAUUUUUUAUUAGGAUAAUAUAUUAAACUAAUAAAAAAAUAUUUUUUAAUUAAAUCCGGUUGAACCUUAAAACCUUGAACCCGUGCUUACACCGGUUCAAUGUCCAGUCCGGUUUCAAUUACCUUG